rnacentral:rRNA from 1 species
GAUCCUGCUCAGGAUGAACGCUAGCUACAGGCUUAACACAUGCAAGUCGAGGGGCAGCAUUUUAGUUUGCUUGCAAACUGAAGAUGGCGACCGGCGCACGGGUGAGUAACACGUAUCCAACCUGCCGAUAACUCCGGAAUAGCCUUUCGAAAGAAAGAUUAAUACCGGAUAGCAUACGAAUAUCGCAUGAUAUUUUUAUUAAAGAAUUUCGGUAUGAGAUGGGGAUGCGUUCCAUUAG